GCUACCGCCGGCCCGGGGACGCGGGCCUUGGCAUCAUCCCCAUCUGGACCCCUGCAGCGUAGCACCCCGGCCACUGGCCUCCGCACGGCCCCAGCCCGGCCGCAUGAAAACAGGGGCGGCCCGGGGUGGAAGUGUGUGAGUCCUGCAGCCGAACCGAGGGAGACAGCGACGGCCUAGUGAGGCGUGGUCCGAUCCCCAGGGCUAAGGGUCUGGUACCAUGAGGGUGCCAUAGUUAGAAGUCAGUAGCUGCUUUAAAAAUACGUCACUUUAAUUUUACUUACUCUGGUACCUCAAAAUGCUGAAGACCUCAUGGGGCCCUGUUGGAAUAUGAACCUAUGAUUCCAGCCAGUACUACAGCCUUUUCAGACCUGAAACUUAAGACAUCCUUUAUUGUUGUGUUUUCUAACAGUGCCUAGCACAAGGACCUUUAAAAACUUCCAUGCUGCAGAACAUAAGAACAGCCGUACUGGGUCAGACCAAAGGUCCAUCUAGCCCAGUAUCCUGUCUACUGACAGUGGCCAAUGCCAGGUGCCCCAGAGGGAGUGAACCUAACAGCCUCUGCACACUGCGUGGACAUCUUCAGAGAACUAUCCACGAUGACUCCCAAGAUCUUUUUCCUGAUUUGUUGUAGCUAAAUUAGCCCCCAUCAUAUUGUAUGUAUAGUUGGGGUUAUUUUUCCCAAUGUGCAUUACUUUACAUUUAUCCACA